rnacentral:rRNA from 1 species
GAUGAACGCUGGCGGCGUGCCUAAUACAUGCAAGUCGAGCGAACGGACGAGAAGCUUGCUUCUCUGAUGUUAGCGGCGGACGGGUGAGUAACACGUGUAUCACCUACCUAUAAGACUGGGAUAACUUCGGGAAACCGGAGCUAAUACCGGAUGAUAUUUUGAACCGCAUGGUUCAAAAGUGAAAGACGGUCUUGCUGUCACUUAUAGAUGGAUCCGCGCUGCAUUAGCCAGUUGGUAAGGUAACGGCUUACCAAGGCAACGAUGCAUAGCCGAACUGAGAGGGUGAUCGGCCACACUGGAACUGAGACACGGUCCAGACUCCUACGGGAGGCAGCAGUAGGGAAUCUUACGCAAUGGGCGAAAGCCUGACGGAGCAACGCCGCGUGAGUGAUAAAGGUCUUCGGAUCGUAAAACUCUGUUAUUAGGGAAGAACAUAUGUGUAAGUAACUGUGCACAUCUUGACGGUACCUAAUCAGAAAGCCACGGCUAACUACGUG